rnacentral:rRNA from 1 species
GCAAGUUGCACCNGAACCCAAUAGGUUGGGGGCACGUCUAGCUGGGUGUCACA